AUUGAACGCUGGCGGCAUGCCUUACACAUGCAAGUCGAACGGUAACAGGUUAAGCUGACGAGUGGCGAACGGGUGAGUAAUGUAUCGGAACGUGCCCAGUCGUGGGGGAUAACUGCUCGAAAGAGCAGCUAAUACCGCAUACGACCUGAGGGUGAAAGCGGGGGAUCGCAAGACCUCGCGCGAUUGGAGCGGCCGAUAUCAGAUUAGGUAGUUGGUGGGGUAAAAGCCUACCAAGCCAACGAUCUGUAGCUGGUCUGAGAGGACGACCAGCCACACUGGGACUGAGACACGGCCCAGACUCCUACGGGAGGCAGCAGUGGGGAAUUUUGGACAAUGGGCGCAAGCCUGAUCCAGCCAUGCCGCGUGCGGGAAGAAGGGCCCUUCGGG
rnacentral:rRNA from 1 species